GACGUAGGGCGCGAGCGUUGUCCGGAUUUAUUGGGCGUAAAGGGCGCGUAGGCGGCUCUGCACGUCCGUUGUGAAAUCGCCCGGCUCAACUGGGCGGGGUCAGCGGAUACGGCGGAGCUUGAGCAAGCUAGGGGGCAAUGGAAUUCCCGGUGUAGUGGUGGAAUGCGUAGAUAUCAAGAGGAACACCAGUGGCGAAGGCGAGUCCCUGGACAAUACCUGACACUGAGGCACGAAAGCCAAGGGAGCAAACAGG
rnacentral:rRNA from 1 species